GAUUCCCUGCCAUGCGCGUGCAGAUUUGGUAAGUUUUGAGCCAACACCAUAUUAUAGGGAGCCUGUAGUUUAAAGGUGCCCACCUGUAAAAAACGGGUUCAAAAUUAUCAAACUCGCACGGCGUGCGCGGGGAUUUU
rnacentral:other from 1 species